rnacentral:tRNA from 1 species
GCAGGAAUGGCGGAAAAGGCAUACGCGUCUGAUUUAGAAUCAGAAUAUUGAGAGUUCGAAUCUCUCUUCCUGUA